rnacentral:rRNA from 1 species
GACGAACGCUGGCGGCGUGCUUAACACAUGCAAGUCGAACGGUCAACCCCUUCGUAGGGGCUCAGGGGCGAACGGGUGAUUAACACUUGGGCAAGCUUCCCCCGCCUCUGGUAGAAACGCAAGCAAUUGGGGCUAAUACCGAAUGGUCACCGCUACCUUCACUGGAGGUGGUGUAACGGGUUUCUGGCUAGGUGGUGGGCCGCGGGCUAUCAGCGUGUGCGUGGGGUAGUUGCCCACAAAGGCGACGACGGGACGCCGGCCUGAGAGGGUGACCGCCGACACUGGGACUGAGACACGGCCCAGACUCCUCCGGGAGGCAGAAGUGUGGAAAAUUGCGCAAUGGGCGGAAGCGUGACGCAGCGAAGCAGCGUGGGGGAUGACGGCCUUCGGGUUGUAAACCUCUUUCAGCAGGGACGAAGAGAAAGUGACGGUACCUGAAGAAGAAGCACCGGCUAACUACGUG